AUACGGAGGGUGCAAGCGUUAAUCGGAAUUACUGGGCGUAAAGCGCGCGUAGGCGGCUUUGUAAGUCGGAUGUGAAAGCCCCGGGCUCAACCUGGGAAUUGCAUUCGAUACUGCAGAGCUAGAGUAUGGUAGAGGGAAGUGGAAUUUCCGGUGUAGCGGUGAAAUGCGUAGAUAUCGGAAGGAACACCAGUGGCGAAGGCGACUUCCUGGGCCAAUACUGACGCUGAGGUGCGAAAGCGUGGGGAGCAAACAGGAUUAGAAACCCGGGUAGUCC
rnacentral:rRNA from 1 species